CCCUUAGAUGUUCUGGGCCGCACGCGCGCUACACUGAUGCAUUCAACGAGUCUAAAACCUGGUCUGAUAGGGCUGGGUAAUCUUUUGAAAGUGCAUCGUGAUGGGGAUAGAUGAUUGCAAUUCUUCAUCUUCAACGAGGAAUGCCUAGUAAACGCAAGUCAUCAGCUUGCAUUGAUUACGUCCCUGCCCUUUGUACACACCGCCCGUCGCUCCUACCGAUUGAAUGAUCCGAUGAAUACCAUGGAUUGAGAGUACGAAUGGGUUCGCUCAUUUCUGCUGCUCGAGAAGUGGAGUAAAUCUUAUCAUUUAGAGGAAGGAGAAGUCGUAACA
rnacentral:rRNA from 1 species